UACGUAGGGUGCGAGCGUUGUCCGGAAUUACUGGGCGUAAAGAGCUCGUAGGUGGUUUGUCGCGUUGUUCGUGAAAUCUCACGGCUUAACUGUGAGCGUGCGGGCGAUACGGGCGGACUUGAGUACUGCAGGGGAGACUGGAAUUCCUGGUGUAGCGGUGAAAUGCGCAGAUAUCAGGAGGAACACCGGUGGCGAAGGCGGGUCUCUGGGCAGUAACUGACGCUGAGGAGCGAAAGCGUGGGGAGCGAACAGG
rnacentral:rRNA from 1 species